GCUCCAGGGAAGAUAGAGCAGAAUUUUAUUUAUUUAUUUUUUUACUCUGUCUUUCCCCCGCACCCAGUAGUAUCCUUAGAGCAUAUUUAUUGACUGGAGGAAUUGUGUGGCGCAUUCCUCUCUGCUUGUUUUUAAUCUCUCUCUAAAGGGAAUGUGGGAUCUCUUCUGUGGGAUUCCUUGGCCUGGUUGAGGAUGCUGCUCCAUUGUAGCAUUUGCCCAAUAUCCAGCCUUCAGGGUGAUUUCCGGCUAAUCUGCAAGCUUCACAGAGCUGCCAGCUUGUAAACAAAUUACUGAAUAGUGAGAAUAGUGGCAGAUCUGUAACUUUUUCUUCAGUGUGCAUAUGAAUAAUAAUAGUAUAACAUGGUGGAGGAAGCGAGAAGGCAAUGGAAAUUUUGUCUUCUCUGAUGCAGUGCCUUUACAAAUCUUUCACAUAUUUAGUAUAUUUCUUAGCAUCUAAGGAUAUGUAUUGUUUUGUGUAUUGGAAGAGCCUACAGUGAACAUCUUCCCUGUAUACUAGAGUAAUAGCUUUGACUGUCAGUUGUCUAAAGUUUAAACAUUUGCUAAUACAUGUUAACUAGGGUUUUUGAAAAGAUAUUUGGGUGAGAGCAAUUCUUAAUGUCUGCAAGCAGAAAAGACAAAAGCCUCUUUUUAUUUUUGAAGAAUUAUUAAGGUCUCAAGAUUUGGUGAAUCCAGCUGGCUAUUGUUUCAACUGCCCAUGUGCAUGGAGAAGUGAACAUGUAGGAAGCAGGUCCUGAGCAAAACCCUGUGAAUGUAAAUACUGAGAAUUGAGUUUGAGUGUAGAUUGUAUUUCCAAGACCCUUGGGCACUGUGAAAGAACUUUGUAGAAAUGGCACACCUUUAAGAGAGCAGCCUCUCUGCUGUUAUCUUUCUUUUUUCUUACACCUGUAGCAUGGAAGAAAAUGCCUGCAUGCUGUACAGCAAUUUUCUGUGGUUGGAACCGUGUUUGAGUGAUGAUCCUGAAUCAAGUUUUGUUGAUCAGGCUGUGCCAUUACUAAGAUAAGAGAAAGUCCUGAACCCUGAGGCAGAGGUUCUGAUGAGGAUGAAAGGGGGAAUAGUUGGUUCUGAUUUUACCUUCCUCUGUUUUUUUACACUAGAAGACUGCUAAGGAAAUCUUUGACUAUAUAUGACUUUCUAGUUUGUUGAAGAAUUCAGUAUAAUAUGGUUACUAGUGAUUUGUCAGGAUUACAUUCUUUUUGAAGAAGCAGGACAUUCCUUUUGACCUGCCUACAUUAUUUGCAAGUAUUAAUUCACUCAAAUCUUUUAAACCAGAAAAUUUGCUCUUUUGAGCUUUGAACCAGAACCUUCCCCCACUGGCACAAAGACACAAAAAAUGCUUGAAAAGAUAUGGAAUAUUUAGUUAUAAAAUUUAAUUUUUUUUUAGAAGUAAAUACUAAGGAGGAGGAACCUGACAUAAAAAUGGAAACAAUUCAAUUUAGGGUAAUAUCAAAGCAAAGUAAUGAAUUAUUUGCAUUUUAAAAUUGGGUUUGCUUAACCAUUUUAACCUGAAGUCACAGCAUCACAGAAUGAGCAUGUGUGUGUUAAUAGUUUCAGUGCAGUCCAUAACAUUUCACUGAUAUACUUUUUUAAAGAAAUCAUUUGUCUUGCUGCCCUGCUAUUAAAAUAGAGCAUGUCAAUGUCCUUCAGGAAUACCAGAGUGCUUAAAAACACACUGAUUACUCUGUUUUAAUGCUCACUGAGUUAUUGCAGUGAAGUGAUCAAUUUGAUGAUCAAGUUCAAACUACUACCUUUGGUUCCAGCAAUUUGCUCAAAUAUUUAAGCUGCUAGUUUAAAUUCUUUGCUAGAUCAUGGAACAGUUUCCUCCUGUGCUUCCAAGGCUGUUCUCAACAGAUGGAAGGCAUUACUGGCCUUUCCGAGAACUUAAAUUGCACAUGAUUUUAUUUGUCUCUUUAGAAACAUAAUGACCCUUUUUUCUUGAGUUAUCUCCUUCUCUAACUAAAAAGUUAUAGUCUUUUUAAUUGCUCUGUGUCUGCUGUAAUGGGCCUCCCUGGUCUAUUUCUGUUUUUCUGGCUCUUUGAGAUGAUGUAAUCCUCUCUGAAUGCAGUACAUGAGAGAGGAGGAAAGUACAGUCUGCAUUGCAAUGUUGCCAGAAUUAGAGCUUCUUAGAUGUAAAAUGCAUUUAUACUUGUAAUGCAAUUCUUUAUGCAAAAUAAACUUCACAGGUUAAUUAAUUUAAUCUUUGCAUUUCUAUAAUUUUCAGAAAAGGCUGUUUUUACAAUGUACUGGUUGCAGAAGGAGUGGCUGAGUUGUAUCUCUCUUGAUGAGCUUUCCUUUUUGGUGGAAUGGCAGAUUUUGUGGCACAUUUUCGUCUUGUUCCCAGACAUGCUAAAGAUGCUUUUUCUCAGGUCUAAAACCAAGGAAAUGUGUGUGAAAUAAAUGGAAUCUCAAAAGCCUUAAGGCUGCCACAGUAAUUCAUACUAGUAAAGAUGCUACUGCUAAAAUACAAGCUGAUGCAUCUGCCAGUUCUGCAGCAGCCAGUCAGUCUUGUAAAUAUUUUAAACACAUAAUCCGUGUGACCAUAGACUUUGGAAUGAAGCUUAUGGUACACUGCAAAAACUUAAUUGUCAACAAAAAUUGUUUCUAAUACUUCCAGUUUAUUUUGCACAAACCCAAAAUGUUAAAGCAAUUCAAAAUUAAAUGUGAAUUUUGAUCACCUCUAAACAUAUAUCCUGCCAAUAUUUUGUAAGUCAAUUUGAUUAAGCUGUGAACAGUAGUACAAAGCAUUUAAAGGAGAUGCUGAUAAUCCAUCUUCGUUUGAUUUGUCAGUUUUCUUGUACUAAUGACAGCCACUCUUUUUCUACUCCUUUCUCUGGUAUUUGGAUCCCAUUUUCAGUAUGUGCAUUGUAGCCUCUUUUACCUCCUUGUUUUCGCUGUCCCAAUGGAUCAGACCUUGAAUGUUAUUCUUUCAGUCUAGCCUUCUCUUCUUCCUCAUGACCAGUAUUUUAAUUUUUUUUUCAACCUUCUUGUGUUGAUGUUGUUUCUAACUUGCUCCCUUUCUGAAUGUUAUCCAGCAUUUUUUUCCUUCAGGGUAGCCAGUUUCUUCUCUCUUCUCCCUUCCUGAAAUUACUGUUUUCCUUCAAGCAUCUACAGCCACAAUUUUAUGCAACAAUAUUCUCUUAAUCCUUUUUGUCAGUCUGCAACAACCAUAACCAAAACUUUUCCUAUCCCUGCAUUUUUUCCCCCCUUCAUUUGUUUUGUUUUCAUGGGCUCAUGUGCUUUUCCUGAAUUUAAAUCAUUCCCCGUUCAUCAAGGCAGAAAAACCUUAUUUUUGUUGCGAAAUAAUUCAGAGGAAAAUAACUUGAGCAAAAACUUGAAAGUUUGCGUUUUCAGUAACACCACUCUGAUAUAUUUUCUCUACAAUUAGAGUAAAUGCUUAGGAAAAGAUGGUGGGUUGUCUCUUGUGUCUGUUAAUGUUAAGGAGAGGAGUUUGUAACAUGUUGUACUCAGAAAUCCUGAAUUAAUGAGGUGCUGCAGACACAGCAGAGGAUGGGAAGAGUUCUGUCAUGUGCCAUGAUUUCCACGAAGCUUUCUCUUGUAAUGUGGUUGUGGAAGAGCUGUGUGUGGCUAUUUAAGCAAAGAGGAUAGUUCCUCUUGAGACCUAGCUGAGGGAUUUAGUGUCUACAAAUGGAUAUGGCUUUAUGGAAUCUUUAUAUAGAUUGCUUAUGCACAGUUCACUUAAUAAAGUGAACAGUCUUACUGUCAUUGUGUAUUGCUUGUUAGCUUUCCUGAGUAAUUUUCCUUUUUUACUUUAGUGUUUCUUUAUAAGUACAAUUAAUGUGGUUUCUUUAAAAUUGAAAGUCUGUGUUACUCUCAUCAAAUUACAGUCUUGAAAGGAGAUUCUUGUUUACAGAAUCCAUUUUUUAUGUGUUGCUCAGUUUGCAGUACAGUGUUUAGAAAUAGAAAUGUAUUUGUGUUUUUGAACACAGGAACAUUUGGGUAUUUUUUUAAACCCAAAAAUCUAAACUCAUUGGAAACAUUUGCCUGAUCUUUAUAACAUCUAGUGGUUCCAUUCCAGUAUAACCAUAUUUCCUUUUAGAGCUUGAUACUUUACUAGUAUAUAGAAACAAGAAUAUGAAAACAAAUAAAAAGUGAUUAUUUGGAAGCAGGGUCAAUAAAUCACCUCAAUUGUUUAUUAACACUUCUGACCUCAGGGAGCCUGUUUUAAUGACAAUAAUUUUGAAGACUCUGCAGCUGUUACCUUGAUGUUUUUUUGCCAAGAUACAACAACUUUUUUUUUUUCCUAUGGCAAUAAAGGGAGAAGCCUUACUAUUUUAGUCCUUCCUGUAGAGAUCUACCUUAGGCUUUCAGGGUGCUCACUGUUUUAUUUAAUAAUCACUUAUUCUCUUUCAUGGCCACUGAGUAGUUAGUUACUUCUUCAGAUAGACUUUUAUGCCUGGGUUUUGGUGAAAUCAAUAGGAAUGAGGUGCAUUGACAGGUUAGCUGAACUAUUAAUGUAUCUUACACAGCAAUUGAGUGUCCAUGGCUUUCAAAUGUUCCCUUUCCUCUCCAGUUUCAUCCCAUUUUUCUGUACUGUGCAGAAAGAUCAGAGUAACUCAAGAAGAUAUAAACAGUCUCACCCUGUUUGCUGGGGUGAGCAGAGACACUGAUCUGCCUGUGGCAUGGGGUGUUCUGGUAGCAGCAGAAGUCACUGUCAGUGUGGGUGCAGACAGCUGCAGCUCCUCUGCUGCCUGGUGUGAUUAGUCAGGUAAUUUGUGUAUGUUUGAUGUUUUAGCAGUGCAUGCCAGACCCAAACUUGUUCAUCUUUCUUAUCAAAUAAGACAUUGAAAGUGGCUUGCUGAAAGUUAUAUAAGAAAUCUGCAGCAGAGCAAGGUUUCAAAGGCCAGUAGAUGAAUCCUGGAAACUGAGCAGUCACUAACUGAAGACUGAAUUCUUGUCCAUCAAAACUGGUGCUGUCCAAGGUAAUAGUGAAUUGGAUUUAUCUUUGGACAGCCAGUUGUAAUUGUAAAGGGAAUUGCUCCUGGAUCCUGAUUAAAAUUAUAUGAUAUAACAUUAUAAAGAACAUUUCUAGGGGUCGUAAAGAAAUUACUAGAUUGGCUGGAAGAAAAUGAGGUGAAUUUUCUGUUCUACUCAGUGCUGGUGACACCACACUUGGAGUACUGUGUUCAGUUCUGGGCUCCCAGAACAGGAGAGACAUGGACAGAAGGGAGCCCAGGGAAGUGGCACGGAGGUGGCUGGGGGCUGGUGCAUCUCUCCCAUGAGGAGGGAUGGGGAGCUGGCACUGUUUAGCCUGGGGAUGGAAGGCUUGGGGGAAACUUAGCAAUGUAUAGAAAUUCCUGAAGGGGGGGGGUGCAGAGAGACCUGAGCCAGGCUAGCUUCUGUGGCACUAACCUUUACGUGACAAACUUACGCAUCUUCAUUCUAAUUCCUCUGUUUUUCUGGUUAGCAUUGAAGUAAAAGAAUUAUUUUCAUGAGAAAGUAAUUUCAUCUGAAGUGAGUAAUUUUGGUUUUCCUUUUGUAUUGGGUCAAUCUUUUCAAGUGCCAGGCCUCUAAAUAAAAGAGUUUCCCUAAUGAAACAACCAAUCUUGGUGAGUUAGGAUUGGCCUUCCAGGCAGAAUGGAAGAAAAUCUCCCUUUUUAGGCCUGGAAUGUAAGCGGUUAUGGAAUUUCAGUGUCUGGAAUGCUUAAGAUUUACAAGCUAGCUUUCCUCAGACAGGUAUUGGGAAGUUAUUUACAGAACUCAAGACUUCAAAAUUAAAUGUGAAUUGUUAGUUUUAAUAAUAUAUUAAGCCCCCAACCCCCAAAUAUUUAAAAUUAAAUUUCCCUGGUUUAUGAAUUUCAGUGUACGGUGUUAAAAUACUUUUUUAGAAAUUUUGCUGGGGCAAUAUUUAUAAAGUUAGUAUAAAUGUCAUGUUAAAAACCUUGUGCAACUCUUCGAAUAUUUUUCCCAUCUAAUUUCUGCUUUGAGUACAGUCCCAAUCUUCAAAAUUAUCAGCAUAGAGAAUUUAGCAUCUUUUCCUGCUACUAAAUUUGCCUUCUCUGCUGUAUUAAGUAAAUGUGUGAUUUAAUUAACUGUUACCAUUUAAAACUCAUCCAGUGAUGUAAACAAUUGUACUUACUUUUUUUUUUUGUUAUUAAAUGUUAGUUAAAUAUUUCUAAGUGUGGAUCUCAUCUCUGAUGAUGACUUUUUCUAAUUUGUGGAAAAUCAUCUAAACUGUCACUUUCUUUUUCUACAUGUUAAAUGUUACUAAAUUAUUGUGGUAUUUGAAAAACUAGUAGUGAGGAGAUAGAUUUCAUAGCUUUAUGAAAUAUUUAGACUACUCAGAUACUGGUCACUAAGUGCAAUGAAAUACUGAUGUUUUUAUUACUUUAUUGAUUUAAUGUCAACUUACAUCUUGCUUCAGCUUAUUAAAAGAGAAUAUACAUAUUUUCUUCAAAAAGUAAUUUAAAACACAGACAAGUGUAUUUUAAUAGUCAAUUGAUCAGCCAUUUAGUAAUGUGAUUAUUACAGAUGCUAUGCAGAGCCAUGUUUUAAGGUACCUGCAACAGAACUAAAAGUGAGACUGUAUUGUACCAUAUAAUAUAUUAUAUAGGUCAUGGAUAUUGUCCAGUUGUCAUUUUUAUUGUGUAUGAAAUGUAUUUACACCAUUUUGUAUACCUUUAAAGACUCACAAGUUAUGAGACAAAUGUGUAAGUAUCUAUCCCCCUAACAAGGAAAUGUGUUUUGUGUAGUUGUUUGAAGGGAUUCUUUCAAGAAAAAUAUAUUUUAUAGACUCCUAGACUCAUUAAAAUAGGAAGAGUAGUACUGCAGGUCUCUUGUCCAAUCUCCUGCUCAAAUUAGGACCCACACUGCUUGUACUGGGCUUUGUAUUUUAAAACCCUCCAAGAAUGGAGAUUCUGCAGUCUCCUUUGAGAUUCCUCAGUUGAGAUUUGCUCAUUUGUGUCCCAGAGUGCUUAUCAGCAGUAAUACCAAAGUAAAUAAGUAAAACCUUUCUAAUUACAGCUGCUGUAUUGGAGCAGUUUCUGUGAGAUGUGAGUGGCUGCUGUAGGUGCUGCUUUGACCACAGGAGUUGUGUUUUCCCUCUGAGCCCCAGUCUGGACACACUGUGUAGUGUCAGUGGGAAACAAAGAAAAAAUCUCCAGCAAAGCCAAUGCCUCUAAAGGAAAGGCAAAGAAAUUACACUUGAGAUUGGCUUUUAUUGCUCUUUUUGCUUGGGUUUUCUUGAACUUUUAGUAUUAUACAGGUUAGAAAUGAGACGUUUCCAGACUUGUGUAUCAGUUUCUUUACUUAAAAAUGUAUUUCCCUCUGACAUGGUAUGUUGGUGUUAAGAUUGCACUGGAUUGUGACGUAAUUGAUGUAAGAAGCUUUUGUGAAGAUUUCUGACAUCUUUCUGAAUUACUGUUAAGAUCAAAUAGAUUCAUAUUAUUCUUGUCUUGUAAUAGUUUGUUACUGGAGAUCAUCACUGUAAAUUUUCUGAUUAUUAUUCUCUGGUUUCAUCACUAAACUGAUUUUUUUGAGUCGGUGUUUGAGAAUAGAUUUUCUAAGAUAAAGAUACAUUGACAAUGCUCAGUUGACAAGACAUAUGAGUGUGGUACUGAUGAAUUGCAGCGUUUGCAGUCAGGUGUCUUUCUGGGAACAAUUCCCUCACACAACACAUUUCAGUUGUGACAGCUGUAAAAAAAAAAAAAAAAAAGCAGCCUUGGCUUAUCUGAAAAUGGUGGUAACAUUGUGAUUCAUUAUGUAAAGCCUUUAGCAGUAAGGGCUAAUUGCAAUUUGCAUUCAGGAUUUGUUUGACUGUAUUUCUAUGUUACUGAAUUACAUAAUCAAAAGAUUGUUUAAAAGAGCCUGUCUGCAUCUGGUUUAAAGCUUUUUUACAUAUAUAUUUAUAUAUUAACGUGCAUACAUACAUUUUAAUUAAAACUUCAGUAAAGCCUUUAAGCACAAACAAUCC